rnacentral:tmRNA from 1 species
GGUCUUUUUUCCUCAACCAUCCCUGCUUAUAUUGAGACUGCCGGCGCAAGCCGGCUAUGGCGAUAAAUGGCCGUCGCAAUAAACCUUUCGGACCCGGGGGCAGUACCCGGCGCCUCCACCAGAGCCCAGCGCGGCUGAGUUCCGGCGGGGGCGAAAUAGGAUCGACGAGGGCGUAAAAGGCGUGCUUUUGCCCGGCAUGGUUCCGCCGUUAUCGGGCCAUUCGUAUAGUUGCCAACGACAACUAUGCUCCGGUUGCUCAGGCUGCGUAAGGCAGUUUGAUAGACCGAUCUAAAGCCCUGGCGGGUUAAGCUCCGUCAGGCGGGGUUCGGGGGCACCUGGCAACAGAAGCCCCCACU